AUUGAACGCUGGCGGCAGGCCUAACACAUGCAAGUAGAACGAGUGGCGGACGGGUGAGUAAUGUCUGGGAAAAUGCCAGAUGGAGGGGGAUAACUACUGGAAACGGUAGCUAAUACCGCAUACCAUCGGAUGUGCCCAGAUGGGAUUAGCUAGUAGGUGGGGUAACGGCUCACCUAGGCGACGCUCCCUAGCUGGGCUGAGAGACUGACCACCCACACUGUAUCUGAGACACGGUCCAGACUCCGAGGGGAGGCAGCAGGGGGGAAUAUUGCACAAUGGGCGCAAGCCUGAUGCAGCCAUGCCGCGUGUAUGAAGAAGGCCUUCGGGUUGGAAAGUACUUUCAGCGAGGAGGCGUUACUCGCAGAAGAAGCACCGGCUAACUCCGUGUCAGCAGCCGCGGUAAUUC
rnacentral:rRNA from 1 species